ensembl:lncRNA
CUUCAAGACAGAGCUCCAGAUCAUUCCUUGCAUUAAGUUUGCACAUCCCUUUUGUCUUCUUUAAUCAGAAACAUUUCCUCAGCCAUUUGAAACAGUACAGUGUUUUCUGCCACAGUGAGAAUCUAGAGAGAGAACUUCCCGAGGCUGAAUUUUAUUUGAAGGUGAAAGCUGCUGCUGCUGCUAAGUUGCUUCAGUCGUGUCCAACUCUGUGCAACACCAUAGACAGCAGCCUAUCAGGCUCCUCUGUCCAUGGGAUUUUCCAGGCAAGAGUACUGGAAUGGGGUGCCAUUGCCUUCUCCAAGGUGAAAGCUAAGGGUGAUUAAUUGUAGUUCUUCUUUCUUGAUUCGUGCAUUUAGUAUUAUAAAAUUUCCCUGUAAGAACUGAGUUAGCUGCAUUCUACAAGUUUUGAGAUGUUAUAUUUUUAUUUUCAUUUACUUCAAAGAAUUUUUCUAUAGUUUCUCUGAGACUACUUUUUUGACUCAUGCAUUAUUUAGAAGUGUGUUGUUUACUUUCUGAAUUUUGGGAGACUGUUAGAUUUAUUUCUAUUGGUGAUGUGUUCUGUGCCUGGGCUAAGUUGCUUCAGUUGUGUGAGCCCAUGGACUGCAGCCCGCCAGGCUCCUCUGUCCAUGGG